UACGUAGGGUGCGAGCGUUAAUCGGAAUUACUGGGCGUAAAGCGUGCGCAGGCGGUUUUGUAAGCCAGAUGUGAAAUCCCCGGGCUCAACCUGGGAAUGGCAUUUGGGACUGCAAGGCUGGAGUGCGGCAGAGGAGACUGGAAUUCCCGGUGUAGCAGUGAAAUGCGUAGAUAUCGGGAGGAAUACCGAUGGCGAAGGCAGGUCGCUGGGCUGACACUGACGCUCAUGCACGAAAGCGUGGGGAGCAAACAGG
rnacentral:rRNA from 1 species